rnacentral:rRNA from 1 species
UGGGCUCAUAUCAAAAAGCACCUCAAAAAGGUAUUNCAUGCCGAACACAGAAGUUAAGCCCUAGAACGCCGGAAGUAGUUGGGGGUUGCCCCCUGUGAGAUAGGGAAGUCGCUUAGCU